CCUUACCAUGCAGUCGAACGAUGAAGCCCUUCGGGGUGGAUUAGUGGCGAACGGGUCGAGUAACACGUGGGCAAUCUGCCCUUCACUCUGGGACAAGCCCUGGAAACGGGGUCUAAUACCGGAUACCACUCCUGCCUGCAUGGGCGGGGGUUGAAAGCUCCGGCGGUGAAGGAUGAGCCCGCGGCCUAUCAGCUUGUUGGUGGGGUAAUGGCCCACCAAGGCGACGACGGGUAGCCGGCCUGAGAGGGCGACCGGCCACACUGGGACUGAGACACGGCCCAGACUCCUACGGGAGGCAGCAGUGGGGAAUAUUGCACAAUGGGCGAAAGCCUGAUGCAGCGACGCCGCGUGAGGGAUGACGGCCUUCGGGUUGUAAACCUCUUUCAGCAGGGAAGAAGCGAAAGUGACGGUACCUGCAGAAGAAGCGCCGGCUAACUACGUGCCAGCAGCCGCGGUAAUACGUAGGGCGCAAGCGUUGUCCGGAAUUAUUGGGCGUAAAGAGCUCGUAGGCGGCUUGUCACGUCGGAUGUGAAAGCCCGAGGCUUAACCUCGGGUCUGCAUUCGAUACGGGCUAGCUAGAGUGUGGUAGGGGAGAUCGGAAUUCCUGGUGUAGCGGUGAAAUGCGCAGAUAUCAGGAGGAACACCGGUGGCGAAGGCGGAUCUCUGGGCCAUUACUGACGCUGAGGAGCGAAAGCGUGGGGAGCGAACAGGAUUAGAUACCCUGGUAGUCCACGCCGUAAACGUUGGGAACUAGGUGUUGGCGACAUUCCACGUCGUCGGUGCCGCAGCUAACGCAUUAAGUUCCCCGCCUGGGGAGUACGGCCGCAAGGCUAAAACUCAAAUGAUUGUGACGGGGG
rnacentral:rRNA from 1 species